rnacentral:rRNA from 1 species
GGUUAAGCGACUAAGCGUACACGGUGGAUGCCCUGGCAGUCAGAGGCGAUGAAGGACGUGCUAAUCUGCGAUAAGCGUCGGUAAGGUGAUAUGAACCGUUAUAACCGGCGAUUUCCGAAUGGGGAAACCCAGUGUGAUUCGUCACACUAUCAUUAACUGAAUCCAUAGGUUAAUGAGGCGAACCGGGGGAACUGAAACAUCUAAGUACCCCGAGGAAAAGAAAUCAACCGAGAUUCCCCCAGUAGCGGCGAGCGAACGGGGAGCAGCCCAGAGCCUGAAUCAGUGUGUGUGUUAGUGGAAGCGUCUGGAAAGGCGUGCGAUACAGGGUGACAGCCCCGUACACAAAAAUGCACAUAUUGUGAGCUCGAUGAGUAGGGCGGGACACGUGGUAUCCUGUCUGAAUAUGGGGGGACCAUCCUCCAAGGCUAAAUACUCCUGACUGACCGAUAGUGAACCAGUACCGUGAGGGAAAGGCGAAAAGAACCCCGGCGAGGGGAGUGAAAAAGAACCUGAAACCGUGUACGUACAAGCAGUGGGAGCACGCUUAGGCGUGUGACUGCGUACCUUUUGUAUAAUGGGUCAGCGACUUAUAUUCUGUAGCAAGGUUAACCGAAUAGGGGAGCCGAAGGGAAACCGAGUCUUAACUGGGCGUUAAGUUGCAGGGUAUAGACCCGAAACCCGGUGAUCUAGCCAUGGGCAGGUUGAAGGUUGGGUAACACUAACUGGAGGACCGAACCGACUAAUGUUGAAAAAUUAGCGGAUGACUUGUGGCUGGGGGUGAAAGGCCAAUCAAACCGGGAGAUAGCUGGUUCUCCCCGAAAGCUAUUUAGGUAGCGCCUCGUGAAUUCAUCUCCGGGGGUAGAGCACUGUUUCGGCAAGGGGGUCAUCCCGACUUACCAACCCGAUGCAAACUGCGAAUACCGGAGAAUGUUAUCACGGGAGACACACGGCGGGUGCUAACGUCCGUCGUGAAGAGGGAAACAACCCAGACCGCCAGCUAAGGUCCCAAAGUCAUGGUUAAGUGGGAAACGAUGUGGGAAGGCCCAGACAGCCAGGAUGUUGGCUUAGAAGCAGCCAUCAUUUAAAGAAAGCGUAAUAGCUCACUGGUCGAGUCGGCCUGCGCGGAAGAUGUAACGGGGCUAAACCAUGCACCGAAGCUGCGGCAGCGACACUAUGUGUUGUUGGGUAGGGGAGCGUUCUGUAAGCCUGUGAAGGUGUACUGUGAGGUAUGCUGGAGGUAUCAGAAGUGCGAAUGCUGACAUAAGUAACGAUAAAGCGGGUGAAAAGCCCGCUCGCCGGAAGACCAAGGGUUCCUGUCCAACGUUAAUCGGGGCAGGGUGAGUCGACCCCUAAGGCGAGGCCGAAAGGCGUAGUCGAUGGGAAACAGGUUAAUAUUCCUGUACUUGGUGUUACUGCGAAGGGGGGACGGAGAAGGCUAUGUUGGCCGGGCGACGGUUGUCCCGGUUUAAGCGUGUAGGCUGGUUUUCCAGGCAAAUCCGGAAAAUCAAGGCUGAGGCGUGAUGACGAGGCACUACGGUGCUGAAGCAACAAAUGCCCUGCUUCCAGGAAAAGCCUCUAAGCAUCAGGUAACAUCAAAUCGUACCCCAAACCGACACAGGUGGUCAGGUAGAGAAUACCAAGGCGCUUGAGAGAACUCGGGUGAAGGAACUAGGCAAAAUGGUGCCGUAACUUCGGGAGAAGGCACGCUGAUAUGUAGGUGAAGUCCCUCGCGGAUGGAGCUGAAAUCAGUCGAAGAUACCAGCUGGCUGCAACUGUUUAUUAAAAACACAGCACUGUGCAAACACGAAAGUGGACGUAUACGGUGUGACGCCUGCCCGGUGCCGGAAGGUUAAUUGAUGGGGUCAGCGCAAGCGAAGCUCUUGAUCGAAGCCCCGGUAAACGGCGGCCGUAACUAUAACGGUCCUAAGGUAGCGAAAUUCCUUGUCGGGUAAGUUCCGACCUGCACGAAUGGCGUAAUGAUGGCCAGGCUGUCUCCACCCGAGACUCAGUGAAAUUGAACUCGCUGUGAAGAUGCAGUGUACCCGCGGCAAGACGGAAAGACCCCGUGAACCUUUACUAUAGCUUGACACUGAACAUUGAGCCUUGAUGUGUAGGAUAGGUGGGAGGCUUUGAAGUGUGGACGCCAGUCUGCAUGGAGCCGACCUUGAAAUACCACCCUUUAAUGUUUGAUGUUCUAACGUUGACCCGUAAUCCGGGUUGCGGACAGUGUCUGGUGGGUAGUUUGACUGGGGCGGUCUCCUCCUAAAGAGUAACGGAGGAGCACGAAGGUUGGCUAAUCCUGGUCGGACAUCAGGAGGUUAGUGCAAUGGCAUAAGCCAGCUUGACUGCGAGCGUGACGGCGCGAGCAGGUGCGAAAGCAGGUCAUAGUGAUCCGGUGGUUCUGAAUGGAAGGGCCAUCGCUCAACGGAUAAAAGGUACUCCGGGGAUAACAGGCUGAUACCGCCCAAGAGUUCAUAUCGACGGCGGUGUUUGGCACCUCGAUGUCGGCUCAUCACAUCCUGGGGCUGAAGUAGGUCCCAAGGGUAUGGCUGUUCGCCAUUUAAAGUGGUACGCGAGCUGGGUUUAGAACGUCGUGAGACAGUUCGGUCCCUAUCUGCCGUGGGCGCUGGAGAACUGAGGGGGGCUGCUCCUAGUACGAGAGGACCGGAGUGGACGCAUCACUGGUGUUCGGGUUGUCAUGCCAAUGGCACUGCCCGGUAGCUAAAUGCGGAAGAGAUAAGUGCUGAAAGCAUCUAAGCACGAAACUUGCCCCGAGAUGAGUUCUCCCUGACUCCUUGAGAGUCCUGAAGGAACGUUGAAGACGACGACGUUGAUAGGCCGGGUGUGUAAGCGCAGCGAUGCGUUGAGCUAACCGGUACUAAUGAACCGUGAGGCUUAACCUU